rnacentral:tRNA from 3 species
GCCCGGGUGGCGGAAUUGGUAGACGCAGCGGACUCAAAAUCCGCCGCCGCAAGGUGUGCCGGUUCGAGUCCGGCCCCGGGCACCA